rnacentral:rRNA from 1 species
GACGAACGCUGGCGGCGUGCUUAACACAUGCAAGUCGAACGGAAAGGCCCUGCUUUUGUGGGGUGCUCGAGUGGCGAACGGGUGAGUAACACGUGAGUAACCUGCCCUUGACUUUGGGAUAACUUCAGGAAACUGGGGCUAAUACCGGAUAGGAGCUCCUGCUGCAUGGUGGGGGUUGGAAAGUUUCGGCGGUUGGGGAUGGACUCGCGGCUUAUCAGCUUGUUGGUGGGGUAGUGGCUUACCAAGGCUUUGACGGGUAGCCGGCCUGAGAGGGUGACCGGCCACAUUGGGACUGAGGGACGGCCCAGACUCCUACGGGAGGCAACAGGGGGGAAUAUGACACAAUGAGCGGAAGCCUGAGGCAGCAACGCCGCGUGCGGGAUGACGGCCUUCGGGUUGUAAACCGCUUUCGCCUGUGACGAAGCGUGAGUGACGGUAAUGGGUAAAGAAGCACCGGCUAACUACGUG